CCUCUUUUCUCCUAAAAUUCAUUGCGCACAAGAUGGUGGCGAAUGAGCAGCCAAGCUCAGAAGAGUCUGCAGCUGUAGA